rnacentral:lncRNA from 1 species
GCAAGAUGUUUCAAAAUUGGUUCAUUUAACUGAUAAUUGGACAUUUGUGCUGAAAUUAUGAGCAAUUUGACCUUGGAUAUUUGACAACAAUUUUGAAUGGCAUAACUUCUGGAUAUAGAAAUAGAUAAAAAUAUAUCAUAUGAUUAGAAAUGAUUUAAAAUAUUUAAUAUGGCAUAUGUUACGAAGCUUUGUAUGUGAAACUAUACAAUAAAAUAUUUAAUUGUAAUUUGAUAUGAUAGGUUUAACUAAUACGUGAUAAUUUCAUGAACAUUCAUUCAAUACAGAGACUUAUAAAGUUGGAUCAAAAGCC